GGCUUCGUGAUGUAGUGGUCAGCACGCUCGACGUGUAACCGAGAGGUCCGUGGUUCGAUUCUCGGCGAAGGCG
rnacentral:tRNA from 1 species